rnacentral:tRNA from 1 species
GGUUCCAUAGUGUAGUGGUUAGCACAUCUGCUUUACAUGCAGAAGGUCCUAGGUUCACACCCCAGUGGAGCCA